GCACCAUUAACUUGUGAAAUCAGUAUUUUAAAAAAAAUUUCCUUUUCAGUAUUUUGUAAUGCCUCAAAAUGUCUCUUGCAUUUUGAGCUUAUUCCAAUUUAUAUUGUAUAAGUAUACCUCAGAAAUUAAAUAUGUAUAUUGAAAUGAUUUCAGCUAUGUAAAAUAAAACUUUUAUACCAUGUUGCUCUUGAACAAUUCAAGAGAGAGACAUGCUUUUGAAAAAUUCAAUUAAAUGUAUUAGGUUCAUAAUUUUUUAAAUUUUAAAUUUUUUAUUCUAAUCUUUCUUUAAAAAAUAUUUUUAUUUAUUUAGAGAGAAAAAAAGUGCAUGAGCAGGGGAAGGAGUAGAGGCAGAGAGGGAGAGAAUCUUCAGUAACUGUGCUGAGCAUGGAGCCUCAAUGUGGGGCUCAAUCCCAUGAGCCUCAGAUCAUGACCUGAGUAGAAACCGAGUCUGACACUCAACUGACUGAGCCGCACAGGUGCCCCUUUUCAUCGUAAUCUCUUUGUUUUUUUAAGUUGUUUUUUAUUUUAUUAUUUUAUUAUUAUUUUUAUUUUAUUUUAUUAUUUUUUUUAAAGAUUUUAUUUAUUCAGGAGAGACACAGAGACAGAGAGAGAGAGGCAGAGACACAGGCAGAGGGAGAAGCAGGUUCCAUGCAAGGAGCCUGAUGCGAGACUCAAUCCCGGGAUCAUGCGUUGGGCUGAAGGCAGACACUUAACUGCUGAGCCACCUAGGCUGCCCUUAAGUUGUUUUUUAAAUUUAGGUAAUCUCUACACCCAAUGUGGGGAUCAAACUCACAAGUCCAAGAUCAAGAAUCACAAGCUUUUCCUACUGAGCCAGUCAGUUGCCCCUCUAAUCUGUUUUUGUUCAAUUAUCAUCCUUUAAGUUACGAUUUUAUAACAUUAAAUUUGUAAAUUGAAACAUAAUACUGUAGGAUUUUGGUCUUUGUGAUUGUAUGAAAUUUUGAAGCCUCAAUUAAGCUUUCUUUUUACUGUUUUUUAUUUUAUUUUAUUAUUUUAUUUUAUUUUAUUUUAUUUAUUUAUGAGAGAGAGAUUGAGCACGAGUGGGGGGAGAGGAGCAGAGGGAGAAGCAGACUCCCAGCUGAGCAGGGAGUCCCACCCAGGAUUCCAUCCCAGGACCCCAGGAUCUUGACCUAAGCCAAAGGCUUAACCCACUGAGCCAUCCAGGCACCUUCUGUUAGUUUAUUUUAGGUGUGUUUUGCUAAAGUAAAACAUUUAACUAAAAUUUCUAUUACUAAAUUAAAUUAUUUUUCACAGAAAGAUGCACAGGACUUAAGAUAUAGUCAUACUUGUGGCUAAGAUUGAUGACAUUAUAGGGAUGUAAAGCAGAAUCAGCAGAGGGAAAAAGGCUUAUAGGGUGAUGUCUAGAAGAAACCAGACCUGAGCUUCCCAGAGUGCUUUUGGUGGAGUCACAUAGGAUGUACUGAAUUCCCCCAGCAACAAGCUGCAACAACUUUGUGAAGUGUCGUCUACAAGGGGAGCUCACCAAAGGCUAGGAAUUCAGGAUCUUCCUGGGGAGUCAGUCAUGGAGGCACACAGUGCCAAUAUUACUUGUGAUAGUCACUGAAAUUUCAGAUGUCCAGAAGGAAAGCAGGUGUUCAGCUUACAUGUCUGUUAGUUUAGGUGCAGUAGUCACUCUUAUCACUUAAGGGAAAGUUUUUUUUGAGUGUAGUCAACUGUUUACCAGGAGAGUUCUUGGAUGGCAGCCAAGGACCAGCCUUUCAAGCUGGCCUUGAUAAUGUUAGCAGGCUCAGGCCUGCCAUGUUAAUAACUCUUUUUGGCACAAAAUAUAAAUGGCAAAAACAAACCAAUUAAACAACCGAAAUAGCAUGGAUUAAAAAAAGACAAAUGUUUACAAGAAAGUCUGUACAGGUAGUUUUAAAGAUAAAGGGAUAGAGAAAGAUAUAACAUCGAACAGUAAACAAAAAUCUGAAGUGGGAUGCCUGGGUGGCUCAGUGGUUGAGUGCCUGCCUUCAGCCCAGGGCAUGAUCCCGGGGUCCUGGGAUCUAGUCCCACAUUAGGCUUCCUGCAUGGAGCCUGCUUCUCUCUCUGCCUGUGUCUCUGCCUCACUCUCUCUGUAUCUCUCAUGAA
rnacentral:lncRNA from 1 species